rnacentral:lncRNA from 1 species
AAAUAAAGUAUCUAAUUUACCCUUCUGCUUUUAAAACCCCUAAACGACGUCUACUCAUCCGUUUAUUCCCUAAAUCACGCCUCUAUUUUCUCUAAUUUGGCAUUCUUGAUUUUUGAAACUAGAUAUCAAUUCAAAUUUAAAAUAAACCUUCGAUUCCUAUAUACGUUUCUCUAGAAAUCACCGCUCAUCUUUUAUUAGAUGGUUUAACCAUCGGUUUUGGUUUUGGGUGUUUGGAAGAUUAAUUUCCUUUUUAUGUUUGUGAUUCUUGCAUAAUUGUCUACAUAUUUGGGCUUGAGGAAGAAAGUGAAAGACUCAGUUCGUUUUCUUCAGUUAGAUCAUCAACAACAUGCUUGGUACUUCCUUGGUACGAUCUUUUUAUCUACUUUCUUCUCUCAUAAAAGGAUCCUUGUAAUCAGUUUUUGAUUCUAAUAUAUCAACAACCACAAUUUUGAUAACCAAUACCAAAUUUGGAAACUUUGGAAGUUCAUAAACGAAAACCUAGAGUCCUAUGUUAAUAAGUUUGGUUCGAAUUUGGAGGAAUAAGAAAAAGAAAUGCAAGAUUUUGUUAAUAUUUUUUAUCUUUACACUAACUCAAGGCUAUCAAACCACCAUCAUUAGACACACCAAUAACAAUUACCUCUUGAUGAGGAUGAACCAAUAGUCAUCUUUUGUGUGAUGUAAAGAUAGUUUAGUUGAAAAUAAGUUGUUUUUCAAAUGGGGCAUUUUGUUAUCUUAUUUCCUUAUUUCAACCUUUUAGUCCGUUUCUUUACACAAUUCUUCACUUUUCUUUGUCCAGAUUUGGUUCAUCCUUAUUGAUUCACAAGAAGGUGUUCGACAUAAACAUAUCAAUUUUUGAACCUCUAUAUGCCUUUUCAGAUACAUAUGGAGAAAGAACGACUAAUAUCAAUUUUUUAAUGUCGGCUAUUUUAAUUUU